rnacentral:rRNA from 1 species
UACGUAGGGUGCAAGCGUUAUCCGGAAUUAUUGGGCGUAAAGAGCUCGUAGGCGGUUUGUCGCGUCUGCUGUGAAAACUGGAGGCUCAACCUCCAGCCUGCAGUGGGUACGGGCAGACUAGAGUGCGGUAGGGGAGAUUGGAAUUCCUGGUGUAGCGGUGAAAUGCGCAGAUAUCAGGAGGAACACCGAUGGCGAAGGCAGGUCUCUGGGAAGUAACUGACGCUGAGAAGCGAAAGCAUGGGUAGCAAACAGG